rnacentral:rRNA from 1 species
UGGGGAAUUUUGGACAAUGGGGGAAACCCUGAUCCAGCCAUCCCGCGUGUGCGAUGAAGGCCUUCGGGUUGUAAAGCACUUUUGGCAGGAAAGAAACGUCGCGGGUUAAUACCCCGCGAAACUGACGGUACCUGCAGAAUAAGCACCGGCUAACUACGUGCCAGCAGCCGCGGUAAUACGUAGGGUGCAAGCGUUAAUCGGAAUUACUGGGCGUAAAGCGUGCGCAGGCGGUUCGGAAAGAAAGAUGUGAAAUCCCAGAGCUUAACUUUGGAACUGCAUUUUUAACUACCGGGCUAGAGUGUGUCAGAGGGAGGUGGAAUUCCGCGUGUAGCAGUGAAAUGCGUAGAUAUGCGGAGGAACACCGAUGGCGAAGGCAGCCUCCUGGGAUAACACUGACGCUCAUGCACGAAAGCGUGGGGAGCAAACAGGAUUAGAUACCCUGGUAGUCCACGCCCUAAACGAUGUCAACUAGCUGUUGGGGCCUUCGGGCCUUGGUAGCGCGGCUAACGCGUGAAGUUGACCGCCUGGGGAGUAC